AUUGAACGCUGGCGGCAGGCCUAACACAUGCAAGUCGAACGGUAACAGGAAGCAGCUUGCUGCUUUGCUGACGAGUGGCGGACGGGUGAGUAAUGUCUGGGGACCUGCCUGAUGGAGGGGGAUAACUACUGGAAACGGUAGCUAAUACCGCAUAACGUCGCAAGACCAAAGAGGGGGACCUUCGGGCCUCUUGCCAUCAGAUGAACCCAGAUGGGAUUAGCUAGUAGGUGGGGUAACGGCUCACCUAGGCGACGAUCCCUAGCUGGUCUGAGAGGAUGACCAGCCACACUGGAACUGAGACACGGUCCAGACUCCUACGGGAGGCAGCAGUGGGGAAUAUUGCACAAUGGGCGCAAGCCUGAUGCAGCCAUGCCGCGUGUAUGAAGAAGGCCUUCGGGUUGUAAAGUACUUUCAGCGAGGAGGAAAGUGGUAAGGUUAAUAACCUUAUCAAUUGACGUUACUCGCAGAAGAAGCACCGGCUAACUCCGUGCCAGCAGCCGCGGUAAUGCGGAGGGUGCAAGCGUUAAAUCGGAUUACUGGGCGUAAGCGCACGCAGGCGGUCUGUCAAGUCGAUGUGAAAUCCCCCGGGCUCAACCUGGGAACUGCAUUCGAAACUGGCAGGCUAGAGUCUUGUAGAGGGGGGUAGAAUUCCAGGUGUAGCGGUGAAAUGCGUAGAGAUCUGGAGGAAUACCGGUGGCGAAGGCGGCCCCCUGGACAAAGACUGACGCUCAGGUGCGAAAGCGUGGGGAGCAAACAGGAUUAGAUACCCUGGUAGUCCACGCCGUAAACGAUGUCGACUUGGAGGUUGGUCCCUUGAGGAGCGGCUUCCGGAGCUAACGCGUUAAGUCGACCGCCUGGGGAGUACGGCCGCAAGGUUAAAACUCAAAUGAAUUGACGGGGGCCCGCACAAGCGGUGGAGCAUGUGGUUUAAUUCGAUGCAACGCGAAGAACCUUACCUGGCCUUGACAUCCACGGAAUUUGGCAGAGAUGCCUUAGUGCCUUCGGGAACCGUGAGACAGGUGCUGCAUGGCUGUCGUCAGCUCGUGUUGUGAAAUGUUGGGUUAAGUCCCGCAACGAGCGCAACCCUUAUCCUUUGUUGCCAGCGAUUCGGUCGGGAACUCAAAGGAGACUGCCGGUGAUAAACCGGAGGAAGGUGGGGAUGACGUCAAGUCAUCAUGGCCCUUACGGCCAGGGCUACACACGUGCUACAAUGGCGUAUACAAAGAGAAGCGAACUCGCGAGAGCAAGCGGACCUCAUAAAGUACGUCGUAGUCCGGAUCGGAGUCUGCAACUCGACUCCGUGAAGUCGGAAUCGCUAGUAAUCGUGGAUCAGAAUGCCACGGUGAAUACGUUCCCGGGCCU
rnacentral:rRNA from 1 species